AUUGCCCUAGUAACGGCGAGUGAAGCGGCAACAGCUCAAAUUUGAAAUCUGGCCUUCGGGUCCGAGUUGUAAUUUGUAGAGGAUGCUUUUGGUGAGGUGCCUUCCGAGUUCCCUGGAACGGGACGCCAUAGAGGGUGAGAGCCCCGUCUGGUUGGACACCGAUCCUCUGUAAAGCUCCUUCAACGAGUCGAGUAGUUUGGGAAUGCUGCUCUAAAUGGGAGGUAUAUGUCUUCUAAAGCUAAAUAUUGGCCAGAGACCGAUAGCGCACAAGUAGAGUGAUCGAAAGAUGAAAAGCACUUUGAAAAGAGAGUUAAAAAGUACGUGAAAUUGUUGAAAGGGAAGCGCUCAUGACCAGACUUGGGCUUGGUUGAUCAUCCAGGGUUCUCCCUGGUGCACUCUUCCAGUUCAGGCCAGCAUCAGUUCGCUGUGGGGGAUAAAGGCUUUGGGAAUGUGGCUCCCUCGGGAGUGUUAUAGCCCAUUGUGUAAUACCCUGUGGUGGACUGAGGACCGCGCUUUUGCAAGGAUGCUGGCGUAAUGGUCAUCAGUGACCCGUCUUGAAACACGGACCAAGGAGUCGUCUUCGUAUGCGAGUGUUCGGGUGUUAAACCCCUACGCGUAAUGAAAGUGAACGCAGGUGAGAGCUUCGGCGCAUCAUCGACCGAUCCUGAUGUUCUCGGAUGGAUUUGAGUAAGAGCAUACGGGGCCGGACCCGAAAGAAGGUGAACUAUGCCUGUAUAGGGUGAAGCCAGAGGAAACUCUGGUGGAGGCUCGCAGCGGUUCUGACGUGCAAAUCGAUCGUCAAAUAUGGGCAUGGGGGCGAAAGACUAAU
rnacentral:rRNA from 2 species